GGUGGGUGGUUGUAAUUUUUGUUUGCUUCAUUUUUUUCUUUCACCAAAAUGGGAGGAACUUUACGAAAAGGG